rnacentral:rRNA from 1 species
CACUCUUCGGAUGAGUGGCAUUACGGGUGAGUAACGCGUGGGUAACCUACCUAUCGGCGGAAUAACGUUCGGUAAACGGUACGCUAAUACCGGUAUAAGCCCUUCGGGGGUAAAGAUUUAUUGCCGAUUGAUGGGCCCGCGUUGGUUUAUCUAGUNGGUGUGGUAACGGCGCACCAAGGCGACGAUCCAUAGUUGGUCCUAAGAGGAUGAUCAGUCACACUGGGACUGAGACACGGUUCCANACUCCUAC